AUGCAUUGGCUGCUUGACAUAUUCCUGGAAGAGGACAUCAACUAGCUAACACAGUCAAUGACAGAUGUCUCUUUGAAUUGAUAAAAUCAUAAUCAAAUGGAUAUAAUACAGAAGUUUCAAAGAUCUGUUUUGAUGUAGCCUGAAGAUUUUGUACUGAAUGAUCCAGGAUCCAAAAGUUCUUCACGUAGUUCAAAGACACAAUAAGAAAGAAGUUUGAACAAGCAUUGUCCUGGGAAAACAGUAAAAAGGAAGAAGUUGGAGGUGGACAAAAAUCAGGAUGAAUAUACUAGAGAAACUAUUAAAGCACAGAAGUAUGACAACAAAAUAAAUCUUAAUGUAAUCAUUCAAGGAAUUAAAUUCAUUGUUAAUCUCAAAA